ensembl:lncRNA
GGAAUCCUGCUUCACCAGCCUGCACGCUUCAGGAUGGGUACAGAUCCCAAACGUCUGCAGGGCUAGUGAUAAUUUCCAUCUGAAUCGCUGUGCAAGAUUUCACCAGCAAAACGAUGCACUGGUUUCAUUUCCACAAGUCUGCUCAAGUGCUUGUGCAAUAGAUUUUGGGGUUUAUAUACAUGUCCUCCUUACUGCAAAUACUGUGUGCUCAGAAAGAGAAAGAGCAAUUUUUUUCUAUUGAUCAAGCGAGUGAACAGCCAUUCAUUUAGCAGAGUAUCUGUAUGUUCUGUACAAUUCAAAUGCUGCCUAUUCAGCUAGUCAGAUAUCUUUGUUCUAUGUCCAAGUAGGCAUUUAUUCAUCACUGCAUAGCACUGCAAUUCAAAGGCUCAGAUGUUUAAAGAUAUAUAUAGGCGAUAUUUGGCUUGCACUGGCAUGCCUAAAUGACUUGGACAUCCAAGUCUCAUUGGACAACUAAGUCCUCUUGUUAAAGGGAAACAGAAACCUAGGUUCUGAUGGCUAACACUCAGGCACCUACAUCACUUCCACUAUAUCUCCUAGAUGUUUGAAGGAUCUAUUUUCUGUGACCAUAAUAAGCUUAUGUAGCAUAGAUAGAUGUAUGUGUAUCAAGUUAAGGGAUGGGUAUAUCCAGUGACAUGUUCUGCCUUCUGAAAUUUGCUGCUUUAGAACCCAAGUAGUUAUUUAAUCCGUACACAGAAGAAUUUGACUGGGAGGCUACAGCUGGUGUGCUGCAGUUGAUGCUUAUUAAACACAUAAUCAUUUCAAUCUUACCUUGUGCUUCCCCAUCUGUCUGUAUCUACUCUGUAACUCAUCUUCCGUUCAGUCAUGAGCUCUUUGGGAUAGGGACUAUCCUUUCACCGAGUUUAUACAGUGCCAAGUACAACAGAUCUGCAGACCUGCACCCAAACAGAGGUGAUGGCACUCACCACGAAAACUUCCCAUGUGGUAGAAGGGGAUUAUUUUCAAUACUUCCAUGUGUUGGAUUUACUUGGAGAGUUACUAGGAAGAUGUUUCUGUUUGUUGUUUAAGCUUUUGAUGGUCUAUUCUGACCUCCUGUAUACCACAGCCCCUAGACAUUCAUCCUUUUAUUCCCAAGUCGUGGAGAGUGGUGUGUGUUUGACUGGAGACUGACUUCUGGAAAGGCAUCCAGUCGCGUUGUGAUGAGAUCAAACAGGGAAGAAAGAGAUGUUCAUCUCUAUUCUAGUGACCCACUGCCAUCACAGCUGAAUGUCUUGUGCCUUGUUCCUAAUUCUAGCGAACUCUCAUGAACGUGCUUUCUCUGCCAGACAGUUGUAUCUUACAGGACUUGAAUAAUAAGAGUAAUAGUAAUGAAUAAGCACCUCGUAACUAUUUGCAUGAUAUCUGCAUCCAAUAAGGCAGCGUUCCAAGUGACACAGGUGUCGGUAUCAAAUUGAGAGUGGCUCAGUCUCUCUUGGCAAUAAUAAAAAAGCUGCCAGUCUUCUUGCUUCACCAACAUCUUCUGUCACCUCCAGAAAACCAUAAGUUUCCUUUGCUUUUACUUUGGUUUCCAAACAAACAAACAGAGAAGACACCAACCUUUCCAAGUCUUGUGCAUCACCUACAGAAGCGGGUCUACUUAUGCCUACUCCUUAGCUCAACUACCAGUUUUAACUGGGGGUUGAGUUGUCCCUUAGUAUAUCCUGAGUUUGUUCAGAGCAGAAUUUAAGGUAUCUCCAGAGGAGUUCCCUUUUCAUGGAGCACCUUAUAGACAGCACAGUGUGCUCCACUCACCGGUGCCUGCCAGCAGAGCAGAUCAGCACUAAGGCCACAAGGAUAAUCAGGGGUCUGGAGCAUCUCUCAUGAGGAGAGAUUGCAGGAGCUGGGCCUGUUUAGUCUAGAGAAGACUGAGAGAGGUUCUCAUUAAUGCAUAUAUAUGUCUCAAAGGGGGGUGCCAGGAGGAUGGUGACAGACUCUUUUCAGUGGUGCCCAGCGACAGGACGAGGAGCAAUGGCCAUAAACUAAAACACGAACAGUUUCACUUCAACAUGAGGAAGAACUUCUUUAUGCUGAGGGUGGCAGAGCACUGGCACAGGCUGCCCAGUGGGGUUGUAGAAUCUCCCUCUCUGGAAACAUUCAAAACCCACCUGGACACGUUCCUGUGUAACCUGCUCUAGAUGGUCCUGUCUUGGCAGGGGGUUGGACAAGAUGAGAGAUCCCUUCAACCCUAACAAUUCUGUGAUUCUAUGACACUUGACCUUCUCAUCCUUUCUUCCCUCCUACAAGGCAGCAGCUUUGCCUGCAGAAGGCGCAGGGAGCACCGACACGCGUCAUGGUACUAUCUUCAACUUGCUAUUGUGCGUGUGUGGUUUUUUGGAACCAACUCAACAUACGUGAAGGAGAGUUUAACCAGAAAAGGAAAUAUAAGCAAAGUGGUUGCAUCCUUUUGCAAUCAACUAUUUUCAAGGCUGGCCGUCAUGUGCUUAAUGAGGAGGCUUUUUCCAGUUACCAAUGAAUAGUUUUAUUUUACGUAAUUGCAACCAUUUCAGCAUGGCAAUUAAGAUAGAAUGUUACCUUUGGGAUGGGAUCAAUUAAAGGUUUGAAAAUUGAAUUUGGGAUCAUGAUUAGUCUCUUUUACAUCGCUUUAGUAUUCUAAAAUAUAUAAUUGUAUGAUUCGACCCUUUUUCAUACAUACAGUAAAUACAACCUUUCAGGGUUUCUUUUUAAGCAGAAACAGAUUUUUAGAGGCCUACUGGUAACUAAAACCACAGCAGAAUGGGAGAAAAAGGGUUUCCCCUAUUUGAUUAGAGGAGAUUUUAAACUUAUAGUACAUGAAAAUGUUGAAUUUAGUGUAAUUGGUUGUCGGAUUUCUUCAGAAUUGAAAUCAUUAUGCCCUGGCCACAUUCCAAGACAUCUUUUCUUUAUUUUAUUCUCUUUUUUUUUUUUUCCUUUUUUUUUUUUUUUUUAAGUUACAAUUCAAAACAGUGUGGAACACGCUAUAAUGUUGUAGUUGGUCAUGUAAUGUCACCGAAGCUGACUUCUGAAUAUAGACAAAGGACUUCAUGUACCGAAGUGCUCCAGCGGUGGAAAAUUGAUA